rnacentral:tRNA from 1 species
ACACCCUACUGGCAGAUAAAUGCAAUAGACUUAGAUUCUAUCCAUCAAAAC